rnacentral:lncRNA from 1 species
AAGAUGUGACCCUUCCUGAAAUCUACCUUUACAGUGGUGGAGUGUCCCCAAAGCUACAGUCUCCUCCACCGGCCAACAUUUCAAGGCCUUAUCUUGGAUUCUUUGCUGGUGGACUUCAUGGCGAUAUCCGGAAAACCCUAUUCGAACACUGGAAGGGCAAAGACACCGAUCUUCGUGUAUAUGAAUACCUACCUAAAUAUACCUAUUCGAACACUGGAAGGGCAAAGACACUCUUCGUGUAUAUGAAUACCUGCCUAGAGACAUGGAUUAUCCCUCUGAAUUGUUGAGGUCCAGGUUUUGCCUAUGUCCCAGUGGCUAUGAAGUGGCU